GACGAACGCUGGCGGCGUGCCUAAUACAUGCAAGUAGAACGCUGAAGGAGGAGCUUGCUUCUCCGGAUGAGUUGCGAACGGGUGAGUAACGCGUAGGUAACCUGCCUGGUAGCGGGGGAUAACUAUUGGAAACGAUAGCUAAUACCGCAUAACAGUAGAUGUUGCAUGACAUUUGCUUAAAAGGUGCAAUUGCAUCACUACCAGAUGGACCUGCGUUGUAUUAGCUAGUCGGUGAGGUAACGGCUCACCAAGGCGACGAUACAUAGCCGACCUGAGAGGGUGAUCGGCCACACUGGGACUGAGACACGGCCCAGACUCCUACGGGAGGCAGCAGUAGGGAAUCUUCGGCAAUGGACGGAAGUCUGACCGAGCAACGCCGCGUGAGUGAAGAAGGUUGUCGGAUCGUAAAGCUCUGUUGUAAGAGAAGAACGAGUGUGAGAGUGGAAAGUUCACACUGUGACGGUAUCUUACCAGAAAGGGACGGCUAACUACGUG
rnacentral:rRNA from 1 species